AGAUUAAGUUAUUAAGGGCGCACGGUGGAUGCCUUGGCACUAGAAGCCGAUGAAGGACGUUACUAACGACGAUAUGCUUUGGGGAGCUGUAAGUAAGCUUUGAUCCAGAGAUUUCCGAAUGGGGAAACCCAGCAUGAGUUAUGUCAUGUUAUCGAUAUGUGAAUACAUAGCAUAUCAGAAGGCACACCCGGAGAACUGAAACAUCUUAGUACCCGGAGGAAGAGAAAGAAAAUUCGAUUCCCUUAGUAGCGGCGAGCGAAACGGGAAGAGCCCAAACCAACAAGCUUGCUUGUUGGGGUUGUAGGACACUCUAUACGGAGUUACAAAGGACGACAUUAGACGAAUCAUCUGGAAAGAUGAAUCAAAGAAGGUAAUAAUCCUGUAGUCGAAAAUGUUGUCUCUCUUGAGUGGAUCCUGAGUACGGCGGGACACGUGAAAUCCCGUCGGAAUCUGGGAGGACCAUCUCCUAAGGCUAAAUACUCUCUAGUGACCGAUAGUGAACCAGUACCGUGAGGGAAAGGUGAAAAGCACCCCGGAAGGGGAGUGAAAUAGAACCUGAAACCGUGUGCUUACAAGUAGUCAGAGCCCGUUAAUGGGUGAUGGCGUGCCUUUUGUAGAAUGAACCGGCGAGUUACGAUUUGAUGCAAGGUUAAGCAGUAAAUGUGGAGCCGUAGCGAAAGCGAGUCUGAAUAGGGCGUUUAGUAUUUGGUCGUAGACCCGAAACCAGGUGAUCUACCCUUGGUCAGGUUGAAGUUCAGGUAACACUGAAUGGAGGACCGAACCGACUUACGUUGAAAAGUGAGCGGAUGAACUGAGGGUAGCGGAGAAAUUCCAAUCGAACCUGGA
rnacentral:rRNA from 1 species